GGAUUAGAUACCCUGGUAGUCCUAGCUGUAAACGAUGUGCACUAGGGAGGGGGGGCACCUGUGUCCUCCCUCCCCCAGCGAAAGCGUUAAGUGCACCGCCUGGGGAGUAUGCUCGCAAGGGUAAAACUCAAAGGAAUUGACGGGGGCUCACACAAGCGGUGGAGCAUGUGGUUUAAUUCGAUUCAACGCGAAGAACCUUACCAAGGCUAGACAUCUAUCCUAACCCACGCGAAAGCGAGGGGUGCUUCGGCCGGAUAGUGCAGGUGUUGCAUGGCUGUCGUCAGCUCGUGCCG
rnacentral:rRNA from 1 species